GCUGGGUGUGGUGGUGCAUGCCUGUAGUCCCAGCUAUUCAGGAAGCUGACAUGGGAGGAUCACUUGAGCCCAGGAGUUUGAGGCUGCAGUGAGCUAUGAAUGCACCACUGUACUCCAGCCUGGGAAACAGAGUGAGACCCUAUCUCUU
rnacentral:SRP_RNA from 1 species